GGUCUGGUUCUGCAACCGGCGCCAGAAGGAGAAGCGCAUGACGCCGCCCGGGAUCCAACAGCAGACGCCCGACGACGUCUACUCGCAGGUGGGCACCGUGAGCGCCGACACGCCGCCGCCGCACCACGGGCUCCAGACGAGCGUGCAGUGAAGGCCCGGGCGCCGCUGCGCGGAGCGGGCCCCGCCAUCGCCGCCGCUGUCACCCGCCGCCCCCGCCGCCGCCGCCGCCGCCGCCGCCGCCGCACCGGGCCAGGCCACCCUACCCUCCGCGCAAAGACAGGCAUGCCCGCCCUCGGAGGAUCGGCGAGGGACGCACCGAGGAGACCAGGCUUGAAGUCCGUGGAAGGAGGGGCAAAAUAAACAAACAAAGCAUAUAAAUGCCCAGACUGUUUUUUAUACAUAUCUCACAAAACCGGAAAAGAAAGGGGGGGCGAUCAUGCGAUCUCCUUUAUACUGUGGUGGUGUUCCGUUUUUGUUUUUCUUUUAAAAGAAGGGUGAAGAUGACUAGCUCACCAAAACUGCACUCUUGAGGUUCUUCCCACCACGAGAAGUCCUACACGGCGACGUUGGAUAGCACCUAGCACCUGCCUUGUUCUCUCCUCUGGAAAAAAAAAAAAAAAAAAAAGAUUUUUUUGAAAGACUCCCCUUCCUUCCACCUCCUCCCUCCAAAGGGCCCCCGCCUCGAGAGAUCCACCGAAACUUUGUUUCCUGGGAGCGGCCCGAAAGCAAGCAGAGGCCCUGGGUUUCAUUAGGGGUGACUCUGUGCUCCCCCACCCUGUUAUUCUUGUCCAUUUUAACGUCAUUUGGGGACAAACAAAUUUGACUAUGAACCGAGAAGGAGAAGAAAAAAAACAAUCUCCAGAAAACAAGAAAUAUAUAUAUAUAUGUGUGUGUAUUCACAGCUUCUGAAAUUAACAGACUGAUAGCAAAGCCAAAAGAAAAAGAAAAUGUAUCCUCAAAGUAACCUUGGAAAUCAAAGCAUCCCGAAAGAGCAGAGGGAUGGGCGAGCGAGCAGGAGAUCGGAAAGGAGCAGAGGAGGAGGGGGGUGCUGGGGCCCAGGCGGCGGGCGUCAAACGCCCAGCUUCCCCCGGGGACGCAGCGCAGGUGGGGCGGUGGCUGUCGCGGGAGGAGGGGGGGCGGUGGCCCGACCCUGCCCGGCCGGGCUCUGCUCAGCGGCCCGGCCGUAACAGCUGCGGACAGUCCCACAAGCUGUUUUCCUCGUGGCGACCAUUCAGCAAAACGCACGAUCCUUUCUCAAAGAUUUAAAUUUCGCGGAUGAAUUACCAUACACCGGUUGCUUAGCAACUAUAUUCAAGCAGGGCUAAGAAUAUGCAAGCUUUUUGUAUUCUCAUUAAUAAAAAUGCCACUCUGACACA
rnacentral:lncRNA from 1 species